CUAAGUACGUGGCAGCGGUCGGGGUAUUUUGUGGGGUGCGGGCGUGGUCUGGAAUUAGUGUGCGUAGAGUGCGUGUAUGGUGGUUGUCGCGUCUGCUGUUGAAAGCCGGUGCGCAAUGCCUGACUGUCAGGGGGUACGGGCAGACUGGAGGGUGUUAGGGGAGACUUGAAGUCCUGGGGUAGCGGUGGAAUGCGCAGAUAUCAGGAGGAACACCGAUGGCGAAGGCAGGUCUCUGGGCCACUACUGACGCUGAGAAGCGAAAGCAUGGGGAGCGAACAGGAUUAGAUACCCCAGUAGUC
rnacentral:rRNA from 1 species